AUACAAAUUAUAAUACGGAAUACUUCGACAAAUUUUCAAGGACACAUUUUGCAUCGUGCGGUACACUGUCAGAGUGACAAUGUACUUUAACGAGUUUUCUAUAAAACUAGUAACACUGAAGGGUAAGAACAAGUUCACCAUAGUUACUGUUUAUUGUAGUGAAAAAUAAACUUGAACUAUGUUGUUGUGUAUGAGAUAUGGGUUUAACAGUUUAUUUACCUAUAGAUCAGUUUUGGAGAGCACUUUUGGAAACACACUGAAAUGUUACUUAAGAAAAACUAUCAUGGGAACCGACAAAUGCAAAACUGAUUUCCUAGCACAGAUUAAUCAGACGCUAGCAAUGUUCUUAAAACGGGCAGAAUGGUUAUGUAAUUCUCAAACGAAUCAUUGUCUCCAAUAAUAUCCACAUCCGUUUUGAAACCAAUUUAUAAGAAUCAAAUGCCUAUUGAUUUUUCUGCAAUUAGCAGUUCAAUGGAAAUCGUUCAAAUGCUAGGCUGACUCACGGAUUCGUCAUUCCUCGCCGGCAGACCAACGGAAUCGGUCUCCAAAGUGAUAUGGAAUGUUCUCAAUCCAACUGCAUGUUCCACUGUCUAGUCUGUUUUGGUUGCCGCUAGCUCAACAUUUGGUUGCGAUCGCCAUAUUUAAGGCUAUUCAUGAAAGUGUACCGGGAUAUGAUCGGUUGGAAAUGACCGAUUGAUAUAUAUGCGAAUGAGGUAACGAAAAUUGGUGGCUGUAUUAUUAAGUCACAGUCAUCUUAGCAAUUCGACUCCGACAGUUUACUUGGAUGAUCUGAUUCGUGAUUUCAAUUCGAGAAUGGGUACAAAUCUUCCACAUUUGAGAUAUGAACAAAUUCUGACGCAAAUUCUGAAGUUGAAGGACUUUUUAAUUAAGUUCGAUGCGAGGAUUUGCAUUGUUUGUAUGUACUCUACUUUAGAUACUGGCUUCAUCAAGAUAAACUAGUCACGGUCAAGAAUGAGGAAGGAUUUGAAAUCACCGGUUUAAUCAAGAGCAUUAAUGAGUACUGAUAUUUGCUUGUGGAAGUGGACAAACACGUGAAGCCGAUUUGAAUUCAUCCUGAUGGAAACUGUUUCGAUAUGAUGAAAAAAGGUUGAUAAUUCCAAAAAACUGAUCAAGUUUAGAUUUGAUACUGUAAUCUAAUAUUGUAAAUCAU